rnacentral:rRNA from 1 species
GAUGAACGCUGGCGGCGUGCCUAAUACAUGCAAGUCGAACGCACAGCGAAAGGUGCUUGCACCUUUCAAGUGAGUGGCGAACGGGUGAGUAACACGUGGACAACCUGCCUCAAGGCUGGGGAUAACAUUUGGAAACAAAUGCUAAUACCGAAUAAAACUCAGUGUCGCAUGACACAAAGUUAAAAGGCGCUUUGGCGUCACCUAAAGAUGGAUCCGCGGUGCAUUAGUUAGUUGGUGGGGUAAAGGCCUACCAAGACAAUGAUGCAUAGCCAAGUUGAGAGACUGAUCGGCCACAUUGGGACUGAGACACGGCCCAAACUCCUACGGGAGGCUGCAGUAGGGAAUCUUCCACAAUGGGCGAAAGCCUGAUGCACCGACGCCGCGUGAGGGAAGACGGUUUUCGGAUUGUAAACCUCUGUCUUCGGGGACAAAAAUGACGGUACCCGAGGAGGAAGCCACGGCUAACUACGUG